CUCUAGCUAGUCGUGCUUUUCCAAAUUCGACAGACGCGGAAACAAAAAGCGAAAGGCGGUACCGCGUGACAAAGCAGUUGUUGCAUUACGCAUUAAAGAUGUAUGUGUAUCUGCAUCUCGGUAAUCAGACAGGAAGAGGCGAAGUAUAUGCGGCUAGUGAUUUUUUCACGGUGGUCGUACAAUUAAUAAAAAAUUAAGGACAUCUAGCGAGGCAGAAGCGGGAAGAUCAUCUUGUAACACGAUAGGAUACAAUAUCUCAAGAGUUGAUCCACAGCGAUGCUAGAAUCAAGAUGGAACAUUGCUGUCACGAGGAAACGGAGGUGAAGGAGGAGAACCAUUAUCGAUGGUUCAUUAAAGCGAAAUACGACAAUCGUCACGGCACUGCCGAAUGAGCUAACAACGCAAGCCGGAAGAGGAAAUUUGGAGAAGGAAGGGAAUGAUUCGCGAUUGCUCGCCCGCUGUAAUAUCUAGGAUUGUUUCACAUGAUUGUCUCCCAGCUAGGGUUGCCAUAUCAAAAUUUUCAAAAUUAGAACUUACAGAUCAAAAACCCACAUAUCAAUCUCGGACGUAUACAAAAAUUACGUGUAGGUUUGUAAAAUUGAUCAAAACAGUCUACGAAUAAUUAUUUUACAUCUAAUUGUUCAUUAAUAAAUAUAAUAUAUAGUGUGCAGUAAGUUAUAAGCCAUAAGAAAUAGACCAAUUAUGAUCAA